GAUGAACGCUGGCGGCGUGCCUAAUACAUGCAAGUCGAGCGCACGGACGAGAAGCUUGCUUCUCUGAUGUUAGCGGCGGACGAGUGAGUAACACGUGGUGAACCUACCUAUAAGACUGGGAUAACUUCGGGAAACCGGUGCUAGUACUGGACAAUAGUUUCAACCGCAUGGUUUAAAAGUGAAUGACGGUCUUGCUGUCACUUAUAGAUGGAUCCGCGCUGCAUUAGCUAGUUGGUAAGGUAACGGCUUACCAAGGCGACGAUGCAUAGCCGACCUGAGAGGGUGAUCGGCCACACGGGAACGGAGACACGGUCCAUACUCCUACGGGAGGCAGCAGUAGGGAAUCUUCCGCAAUGGGCGAAAGCCUGACGGAGCAACGCCGCGUGAGUGAUGAAGGUGUUCGGAUCGGAAAACUCUGUUACUAGGGAAGAACAUAUGUGUAAGUAACUGUGCACAUCUUGACGGUACCUAAUCAGAAAGCCACGGCUAACUACGUG
rnacentral:rRNA from 1 species